AAAUAAACGUAUGGAUAAAAUACACUCACAUACGAAGAGCCAAUUACAAGCUGGCUCACACUGCACGCCUGGAAAUAAAAUAAUCCCAGUCCUGAGGAUUAUUUUAUUUCCAGGCGUGCAGUGUGAGCCAGCUUGUAAUUGGCUCUUCGUAUGUGAGUGUAUUUUAUCCAUACGU